rnacentral:rRNA from 1 species
GACGAACGCUGGCGGCGUGCUUAACACAUGCAAGUCGAACGGAAAGACCCUGCUUUUGUGGGGUGCUCGAGUGGCGAACGGGUGAGUAACACGUGAGUAACCUGCCCUUGACUUUGGGAUAACUUCAGGAAACUGGGGCUAAUACCGGAUAGGAGCUCCUGCUGCAUGGUGGGGGUUGGAAAGUUUCGGCGGUUGGGGAUGGACUCGCGGCUUAUCAGCUUGUUGGUGGGGUAGUGGCUUACCAAGGCUUUGACGGGUAGCCGGCCUGAGAGGGUGACCGGCCACAUUGGGACUGAGGUACGGCCCAGACUCCUACGGGAGGCAGCAGUGGGGAAUAUUACACAAUGGGCGGAAGCCUGAUGCAGCAACGCCGCGUGCGGGAUGACGUCCUUCGGGUUGUAAACCGCUUUCGCCUGUGACGAAGCGUGAGUGACGGUAAUGGGUAAAGAAGCACCGGCUAACUACGUG